AUCACUUCUCAAACUUUUAACUAAGAUCAAUUGUAGUAUCUGUUCUUAUCAGUUUAAUAUCUGAUAUCUGACAUUGUCUAUCUGAUGACUAUAUUAAAUGGAUUUGGGGCACUAGGAAAUGGAAUAGAAGCAAGCUCUGUCCAUUCGACUCAUCAACCUAGUAUAGUAUAGUAUCCAGGAAUGGUGCACCCAAA